rnacentral:piRNA from 1 species
UAUGCAAGAAUUUACAAUGGCCUAGGGAG